UUGCCUCAGUAACGGCGAGUGAAGCGGCAACAGCUCAGAUUUGAAAUCUGGCCCCGGCCCGGGGUCCGAGUUGUAAUCUGUAGAGGAUGCUUCGGGGGCGGGCUGGGUCUAAGUUCCUUGGAACAGGACGUCAGAGAGGGUGAGAGUCCCGUCUGUGGCCCCUCCCCUUGUCCCCUGGUGAAGCUCCCUCGACGAGUCAAGUUGUUUG
rnacentral:rRNA from 1 species